CCGACCCACACUUAGGAUUUUUGCUGCGAGUUCGACAGUCGUGCGUUGAGGUGUUGGGAGUAACGUUGGGCUCCCUUAAAUUCACAACCAAUAUAUGAAUUGUUGAGGGUUCAGUUCGCCAAUACUUCGGAUUGUUUCGAGGACGUUAGUUGAUUAAGGAGCUUCCCUAACUUUGAGGCAAAGGAAAUAA